rnacentral:rRNA from 1 species
CCCUAUGGGGUGCACCAGUCGAGAAUCCCUACGGGGUGCAGCAGGCGCGAAAACUUUACAAUGCUGGCAACAGCGAUAAGGGAACCUCGAGUGCCAGGUUACAAAUCUGGCUGUCGAGAUGCCUAAAAAGCAUUUCAUAGCAAGGGCCGGGCAAGACCGGUGCCAGCCGCCGCGGUAACACCGGCGGCUCGAGUGGUAACCGUUAUUAUUGGGUCUAAAGGGUCUGUAGCCGGCCGGAUAAGUCUCUUGAGAAAUCUGGCAGCUUAACUGUCAGGCUUUCAGGAGAUACUGUCUGGCUCGAGGCCGGGAGAGGUGAGAGGUACUUCAGGGGUAGGGGUGAAAUCUUGUAAUCCUUGAAGGACCACCAGUGGCGAAGGCGUCUCACCAGAACGGACCUGACGGCAAGGGACGAAAGCUAGGGGCACGAACCGG